UACGUAGGGUGCAAGCGUUGUCCGGAAUUAUUGGGCGUAAAGAGCUCGUAGGCGGUUUGUCGCGUCUGUUGUGAAAACCCGAGGCUCAACCUCGGGCCUGCAGUGGGUACGGGCAGACUAGAGUGCGGUAGGGGAGAUUGGAAUUCCUGGUGUAGCGGUGGAAUGCGCAGAUAUCAGGAGGAACACCAGCGGCGAAGGCGGCGCUCUGGGCCGGUACUGACACUGAGGAGCGAAAGCGUGGGGAGUCAAACAGG
rnacentral:rRNA from 1 species